ACACCUUCCUGGCAGGGGAGACACCAUGAUCGCGAAGGUGGUUUUCCCAGGGCGAGGCUCAGCCAUUGCACUCCGGAUGUGCUGACCCUGCGAUGUCCCCAAAUGUGGGAAAGUGGACUGCAUUAUUCGUGGUUGUGGGGGUCUGCAUUCACUCUCUCCCCAC
rnacentral:snRNA from 1 species